UACGGAGGUGGCAAGCGUUGCUCGGAAUCACUGGGCGUAAAGGGCGCGUAGGCGGGGAGGUAAGUCGGGUGUGAAAUCCCUCGGCCCAACCGAGGAACUGCGCCCGAGACUGCUUCUCUUGAGUCCCGGAGAGGAAGAUGGAAUUCCCGGUGUAGCGGUGAAAUGUGUAGAGAUCGGGAGGAGCACCGGUGGCGAAGGCGGUCUUCUGGACGGUGACUGACGCUGAGGCGCGAAAGCGUGGGGAGCAAACGGG
rnacentral:rRNA from 1 species